rnacentral:rRNA from 1 species
UACGAAGGGGGCUAGCGUUGCUCGGAAUCACUGGGCGUAAAGGGUGCGUAGGCGGGUCUUUAAGUCCGGGGUGAAAUCCUGGAGCUCAACUCCAGAACUGCCUUUGAUACUGCGGAUCUUGAGUUCGGGAGAGGUGAGUGGAACUGCGAGUGUAGAGGUGAAAUUCGUAGAUAUUCGCAAGAACGCCGGUGGCGAAGGCGGCUCACUGGCCCGGAACUGACGCUGAGGCACGAAAGCGUGGGGAGCAAACAGG